rnacentral:other from 1 species
UCAGCGCUGCGGGGCCCGUUAGGGGCAAAAUGACCCGGGGGCCUAUAAGAUCCGCAAGGGUGCUGUCCCUGACUGGAGCCGUGGCUCCGGAUACACGGUGCCCACCUACAAUUGUAGGGACCACGCGGGAUCAUGAUCCCGACGGCCUUCGCGGCACUUUG